ACCCUUGUGGAGGAGGACGCCGAAGGUGGGGCUAAUGACUGGGGUGAAGUCGUAACAAGGUAGCCGUACCGGAAGGUGCGGCUGGAUCACCUCCUAACAGGGAGACAACAAAAUGUUUAAUAUUAUUAUUUUGUCACCUUAGGUCGAUCGGUAUCUCAUGUUCUUAAUUUGUUAAGAAUUUCAUUUCCUAAGUUUUUCUAGGUCACACCCAUUAUUUUUCCUGGGCCAUUAGCUCAGGUGGUUAGAGCGCACCCCUGAUAAGGGUGAGGUCCCUGGUUCAAGUCCAGGAUGGCCCAUAUCUCUAUGUUGGGGGUAUAGCUCAGUUGGUAGAGCGCCUGCUUUGCAAGCAGGAUGUCAGCGGUUCGAGUCCGCUUACCUCCACUGAUUACCACCUCUUCCAUAACCGAUAUAAAGGAAAUGUUUUGAGUUGUGAUCAUUAUUCUGAACGAAUCUAGCUUCCUAAUGAAAUCAUUAAGAUGCUGGACUCAUUGAAUUAAUUUCAUUGUUUUCAGAGAACCUUGACAACUGCAUAGAUUAUUUUUAAAGACAAUAAGCAUCUUUAAUGAUGCAGAUUUAUUAUUUGUGCUAAUGCAUUAAUAACAAUUCUAUUAAGCUGAUGCUUCAAUUUUUGAAGUUAUUGGUCAAGCUACAAAGGGCUCACGGAGGAUACCUAGGCACACAGAGGCGA
rnacentral:misc_RNA from 1 species